rnacentral:lncRNA from 1 species
CUCUUUCCCUAUUUCAGAGCUCACCACUGUAUUCUAAACAGAAGCCAAUAGAGGGAGAAAAACAAAGCCAAGUGCAAAAGCUGUGGGCACUGAAAGUUUUGCUCCACCGGCCGCGCAGCACCCACUUGGGGUCGGGCUUUGGGACUUGGGGGAGUCAGGAGCAGGCGGGGGCUGGGGAGAGGACGAGGCCCUGGGGAGGGGCUGGAAAAGGCUUUUCACAGCGACUGGCACUUGAUAUUUCCAAGUCUUCUGGAUGUCACUCACCGGAAACCAGACCCUGCGGUGCGAAGACUCAGGUGGCAAAGGCAAAAGCUGGACUGCAUUGUGUGGCCCCAGGGAGCUGCAGACAGAGGAACUGAGUCCUGGCCACUGUGCCUGCUGUCUCUUACAAGUUUAGAGAUGCUGGCAUUGCAUCGAAAUCGGACAACACUCCCUUCCCUCCCUUCCCAGAGACUCCCAGCUUUGGUGUCCUUAAGAAAGGGACUUACUGACUUCAUGCAUCUUUCAAGCAAAGAUUAACAACAAUGAUAAUAGAGUAAUAAGUUGGCCUGGAAUCUUGGCAAAACUGAAAACCACAUGUUCUGAGAGUCUCUUCCUGCGCUGGUAAUUAAGUUUCUUCCCCCUACAAAAUGAGACUCUUUUGGACCAACAGGCGUUAGGCAUGUGGACAUCUUGAUGGGAUCCCAUCUUCUCUUUUGAGGAUCAAAUCCUGGCCAACUUUGUUUGAUGUUCAGAGCCCUGUAUGGGAGUCAAAGCCUGCUAAUAAAGCAGUCGUGCCUGUUUGGAGUCAUUCUACAGCUCAGGACUUCAUCCCAGGAGGGAGGUGUAGUGGGUGACUCACUAACUGUAAUAUAAACAACGACAACAAAAGGGUCUCUGAGUCACACUGACAUUGUGGAAUCAAACAUAUAUCUCUGUGCCCUGACCCCCACCAAGGAUGCAGUCACACGGAUGUCCAGUUAUCUUCUAAUCAAUGCCCAGUCCAGAUGGUCACCACCCACCUCUGCAGCAAAAGUCACUGCGCAUUUGGAUAUCUACACAGCUUGUUUGUAACUGAGUUAGUGCAGCCUAGUAAGGUACAGAUGUUUUCCUUUUAAUCCUGUUUGUACUUUGAAAUGGUCACACUCGAUGUCAUUUGGCUGCAGGAAGCUCCUCCAGGAAUGAUCCCGCAAGAGAAAUGGGAUGUGCGUGGCACCAUCUGAUUCGGGGCAGCUCUGUCACUCCCUGCAGAACUGAGCACACUGAAUUUAUUUGAAUAGAACAGGUUAUGAGGGUGAGGAUAAACAUAUCAAUACCUCAUUUUUUUUUUGAACGCCGACUCUAUGAUCGGAUUACCUGGCCCUUCAAGAGAUGGAGUUCUGCUCGUCGCCCAGGCUGGAGUGCAGGGGCGCAGUCUUGGCUCACCACAACCUCUGCCUCCUGGUUCAAGCAAUUCUCCCGCCUCAGCCUCCCGAGUAGCUGGGAUUACAGGUGUGUACCACCAUGGCCGGCUAAUUUUGUAUUUUUAGUAGAGACAGGGUUUCACCAUGUUGGUCAGGCUGGUCUCGGACUCCCGAGCUCAGGUGAUCCACCCGCCUCGGCCUCCCAAAGUGCUGGGAUUACAGGCAUGAGCUUCCGCGCCUGGCCCUCUGGUUGUCUGUAAGUGUGUAGCACCUCCUCCUCUCUCCUCCUCCUGCUCCAGCCACCCAAGACAUGCCUGCUUCCCGUUCACCUUCCACUGUGAUUGUGAGUUUCCUGAGGCCUCCCCAGCCGUACUUCCUGGACAGCCUGCAGAACCGUGAGCCAAUUAAACCUCUUUUCUUUAUAAAUUAUCCAGCCUCAGGUAUUUCUUUAUAGCAGUGAGAGAACAGACUCAUACAACUGGGCAUGUCUUCUAAGCAAGGUACUAUUCUAAUCACCAGACAAUAGUGUGCUAGUAACUAUUUAACAACCGGCUCUACGAGAGUAAUCCUGCCAUGAUUACUCACCAUGAUUACGGUGGCUAAUAUUUUCAUUUAUGUUAACAAGUAAGAUAAAGGUAAAACAACAAAAGUGCACGCUGGAACUUGACUCCUUUGUCGAUGACAUGAGAGACUUCCUUGCUGAAUAUGAUAAUAGACUUCCUUGCUGAAUCUGAUCUGAUAAUCCUUUUUUUUUUUUUUUUUAAUUUUCUGAGACAGAGUCUGGCUCUGUCGCCCAGGCUGGAGAGCAGUGGCGUGAUCUCUGCUCACUGCAACCUCCACCUCCUGGGUUCACACCAUUCUCCUGCCUCAGCCUCUCGAGUAGCUGGGACUACAGGCACCCACCACAACGCCCGGCUAAUUUUUUGUAUUUUUUAGUAGAGACGGGGUUUCACCAUGUUAGCCAGGAUGGUCUAGAUCUUCUGACCUUGUGAUCCACCCGCCUCGGACUUCCAAAGUGCUUGGAUUACAGGUGUGAGCCACCGUGCCAGGCCCUGAUAAUAGUUAUGAAAUACUGGAAAAACAGUUUUAAAAUUCUCUGUGCUGUUUACACUUUAACAAUGACAUGCUUUUAUGUUUAAUCUACAUCAUUAAUACUUUUCUCCAUCCCUUCCUUAAAUCUAGACAACAAACCAAACAAUAGGGCAAGCUCUGGUUUGUAGUGUCUGCUGAUUCCUGUGGUGUGAAUACUCCCACCAUGGCCAAUAUCAAGCUGCCAACAUGGUGUCACUAUAUGCAGACUUGGGAAGAGAUGCCUGCUAGCACAUCAUGGUACAGAAUCUCCACUCUGCGGAUAUAAUAGGUGCAAACCCCAAGAGCAGAGCAGAGCAAACAGCAAAAUAAUUAAGGAGUGAUAUGUUUUGAAUAUUCAUUAUCUUUGUUUUCAAUAAAAUUUAUUUAAUUGUAGGCUUUUACAGUCUAAUUUGUAUUUUCAUUUAUUUAUGUGUAUUUAUUUAUUUUUAUUUUAAAAAGUAAAGAUGAGGUCGCCCUAUGUUGCCCAGGCUGGUUUUGAACUCCUGGACUCAGGCAACCCUCCUGCUUUGGCCUCCCAAAGUGCCGGGAUUACAAUCAUGAGCCACUGCACCCAGCCAGUCUAAUUUCUAAUAAUGGCUAUGUUUAACAAGCAAUUUGCAAAAUUCCUGAAAAUGUAAGAAUUGACUCUUCUGAGCUGGCAGGAGCUGACUCCAGC